GACGAGCUGAUCAGCAUGCGCUGUGAGAGGCCUUGGUGUAGCACUUAGUGGGGAGGAGCUACUGGUAUACUGGGCUAGUGACGUACCCACAGGAGUAAGCACCGGCUACUCUGUGCCAGCAGCCGCGUAAUACAGAGGGUGCGAGCGUUAAUCGGAUUUACUGGGCGUAAAGCGCGCGUAGGUGGUUAAUUAAGUCAAAUGUGAAAUCCCCGAGCUUAACUUGGGAAUUGCAUUCGAUACUGGUUAGCUAGAGUAUGGGAGAGGAUGGUAGAAUUCCAGGUGUAGCGGUGAAAUGCGUAGAGAUCUGGAGGAAUACCGAUGGCGAAGGCAGCCAUCUGGCCUAAUACUGACACUGAGGUGCGAAAGCAUGGGGAGCAAACAGGAUUAGAUACCCUGGUAGUCCAUGCCGUAAACGAUGUCUACUAGCCGUUGGGGGAUUUGAUCCUUUAGUGGCGCAGCUAACGCGAUAAGUAGACCGCCUGGGGAGUACGGUCGCAAGACUAAAACUCAAAUGAAUUGACGGGGGCCCGCACAAGCGGUGGAGCAUGUGGUUUAAUUCGAUGCAACGCGAAGAACCUUACCUGGCCUUGACAUAGUAGAGACUUUCCAGAGAUGGAAAGGUGCCUUCGGGAAUCUACAUACAGGUGCUGCAUGGCUGUCGUCAGCUCGUGUCGUGAGAUGUUGGGUUAAGUCCCGCAACGAGCGCAACCCUUUUCCUUACUUGCCAGCAUUUCGGAUGGGAACUUUAAGGAUACUGCCAGUGACAAACUGGAGGAAGGCGGGGACGACGUCAAGUCAUCAUGGCCCUUACGGCCAGGGCUACACACGUGCUACAAUGGUCGGUACAAAGGGUUGCUACACAGCGAUGUGAUGCUAAUCUCAAAAAGCCGAUCGUAGUCCGGAUCGCAGUCUGCAACUCGACUGCGUGAAGUCGGAAUCGCUAGUAAUCGCGGAUCAGAAUGCCGCGGUGAAUACGUUCCCGGGCCUUGUACACACCGCCCGUCACACCAUGGGAGUUUGUUGC
rnacentral:rRNA from 1 species